CACUAAAAAUAUUGAAAUUUAUCCAAAUAUGUGUGUAAACUUAUAAAUAUAUACACAAAUUAUCUUUAUAUGUGUAUAAAAUUUUAUAUACCUUUCAUAAAUAGCGUAAAAAUAAAUUAUAAAAACCUUAUAAAAACCUUAUAAAAACCGUAUAAACCCUUUUAAAAACUUUUAAAAACCUUAAAAACUUAUAAAAACGAUUUAAAACUAUUUAAAACAUUUUAAAAUAUUUGUAUCGAAUCUCCCAGUAGUAGUUAUUAUAUAGAAGUACCUUAUAAACUAUAUAAAACUUUAUAAUUUUUUAUAUUUAAAAAGGGGUAUUUUUGAAAAUGGAUAGAUAAAGAGGGUAUUUUUAAAAAGGGGUACACCAAAAGGGGUAUUUCUCAAAAAUUCACUUUUUUUUU
rnacentral:lncRNA from 1 species